CCUACGGGAGGCAGCAGUGGGGAAUAUUGCACAAUGGGGGCAACUCUGAUGCAGCGACGCCGCGUGCGUGAAGAAGUAUCUCGGUAUGUAAAGCUCUAUCAGUAGGGAAGAAAAUGACGGUACCUGAUUAAGAAGCCCCGGCUAACUACGUGCCAGCAGCCGUGGCAAUACGUAGGCGGCAAGCGUUAUCCGGAUUUACUGGGGGUAAGGGGAGCGUAGACGGCAGCACAAGUCUGGAGUGAAAUGCCGGGGCUUAACCCCGGAACUGCUUUGGAAACUGUGCAGCUAGAGUGCAGGAGAGGUAAGUGGAAUUCCUAGUGUAGCGGUGAAAUGCGUAGAUAUUAGGAGGAACACCAGUGGCGAAGGCAGCUUACUGGACUGUAACUGACGUUGAGGCUCGAAAGCGUGGGGAGCAAACAGGAUUAGAUACCCUUGUAGUC
rnacentral:rRNA from 1 species